UGGUUGACGCUGCUGUCGAAGUUGGAUGAUAUUGCUCACGGAGGAGGCUUCUGAGAAGGGCAUAAAUGGGUUUUAAAAAAGCAGUGAAUUGGAAUGGGAAUGGCAGAUAAAGAGAAACACAUUUUCUGCAUUUUCUAAUGAUUACUCACAUAGUUGAGCCUUGCACGUUAUAUUUAUUAGAACGACCACCCCCCAUUUAGUUUUCCUUUGAAGAGUCUUUCUUGUAAACCGUGGGUGCGUGUGUGUUUGCGUCCCGAUCUGCCAGGGCUGGGCGCCAAGUGCAAAGUGCGCAGCCGCGAAGUGGAGUCGGCGCCGGCGGGAGCGCGGGGCUCAGGGCCAGGGCCCGCCUCCAGGGGGCGGUGUGCGCCCCCGGCGCUGGAGCAGCCGCGUUUCGGGGACCCGGGCAGGCGUGGGGGGCUGCGCUGAGCUCCAGGCCUCCUGCAGGUGCAAUAAGAAUCGUAUUACUAAUGUGGUGUCCUCUGGAAUGGUCACAUGAACACAGUUCCCUGCAGAUGUAAUUGGGAGAGAAGGCACAGUCCUGACACAGGCUGUGCCUUAACUUCCUCGAAAGACAACAUCAGUGCUGGCGGGCCUCAAGAAGAGCCAUCCCAAGGUAUUGACUAGGCAUCAGCGUCUUCACCAGGGCAACACAGAACAUCCCUGCAGAGUUCCUGGUGGCUGCAGUGGCUGGUAGGGGAUGUAUGCCUGCUUUCCAUCAGAUUCCCAAAGCGGAGCCCCUGGAGGCUUUGGCCCAUGGCCCUGAAGCUCCCUUUCACAAGGAAGAAAGACUUUGCAAAGCCAACACCACUAUUGGAGAGAAAGUGGAGAAUGUGUAUUAGAAGUACUAGUCUUUGAAGGCAAAACAGCUGUAUAGAGUGAGCUUAAGUGCUGGAUCCCUGUGGUUAGGAAGGGACACUAAGCCUCCGGGAUGUGAGAGUCCCAUGGAAGGCAGUAGGCCCAGGAUAAAGCAGGUGUCAGCUCAGAAAGCCCACCAUCACCCAGAAAAGGGAAGAAAUACGCUACCACCAUCACUCUUUCUGCCAAUGACUUCUUUGCACACCUCCACCCUAUCUCCUGGCUCAGUCUCCCAUGUUCUCAUAGCUAGGGAGGUCUCCAUUGUAAUUUGUAUGGGGAGGUUAACCUAUAGGCCAUUCUGAUGAUCCCAGCUCCCUUUCACUACAACCCCCGUCUGCAUCCUUUGCUUUGCAGUAGGAUUUGAGAGAGGAAGGAUGAAGAUGUAGCCACAGGAUACAUUUAAACAGGCACAGAGUUUGAGGGGUGGGGGGGAACAAAAGCAAAACAAUAAAACCUUCACCAGUCAUUAAAGAAAUGAAAAUGAACCUUUUGAGAUUGUCAAUUUUUAUCUGCUAAGUCAAGAAAAGCUAAUUUAAUUCCUGGCAAUUUCACAAUAAAAAAAAUUGUGCUAGCUCUUGGUGGCAUUGUAAGUAGUUAAAGGCUUUUUGGGAAGUAAUUUGAAAUACAUCAAGUCUUGAAAAUGAUUAUACCAGUGGAUCCAAUCAUCUCGCUGGUGGAAAUUCAUCUGAAGGAAAUGAUUCAGUGGAAAAAACAACCCGUCUACACUUGUUGCACCUAAAUGUCCAGGAAUAAGGGAAUGACAGAAGAAAUCUCAGCACAUUCUCUGAAUGGAACAGAAACCGAGCGUUUGGAACUAGAAUUGCGCAGACUGAAUUGAAUAUGGAAGUGGCUUUAAAUGGCAUGUUAGGUGGAAACACUGGAUGUCUGGUUGAAAUUUGGUAAGACACACAUUCCCAUGGUCAGAAUCGGAAAAUUUCAACAAAUGAAAAUCAUGGGGUUCACAAAGAGGUGUUGUGGGUUAUAGAAAGCUAUUUUCAAAAAUUUCUUUAAUGAUUCAAAAUUGUUUUUCAAAAAAAGUAGAAGAUUUAGAAACAUGUAUUUUAGGAAGUAUGGCCCAUGGUGUCUAUUGGAAAAAAAGUGGAAGACCUGAUGCAUUGCCCAAGGGGAACUUCUAGCUUAAGAUUACACUGAUGAGGACUGGGAAACACUCAGGCACUUUCAGGCACGCUGAGUAACAGGGGUGUCCUUUUACACAGAGACAAGGUGCUCUGUGGUCCACCCUUUACUUGGAUCCCCAGAUCAGCAUUCUCAUCAGGCAGAAGUAACCAGAGGAGGAAACAGCAUUUCUUCAAAGCUGAAGAGAGCUUUUUGGAGGGGAAAAUAAAAAAUCCUAGGAACUCCUUGCAUGACUGAUGGUUUGAACAAUGGCUUUGCACCCCAAGACCAGCCUGGCCUCGUGGUUGUAAAUCUGGGGGCCGUUGACAAACGGUUUCCCACCUUGGGACUUGAGUCUGCAGUUCAAGAGUCACGUGGGCCUGCCUGAGCCGCAGGGCUUGGCCCCUGUGCUGAGCACAGGCUUCUAGAAGAAGG
rnacentral:lncRNA from 1 species